rnacentral:rRNA from 1 species
UGAACGUUGGCGGCGUGGAUUAGGCAUGCAAGUCGUACGCAUAGCUUCGGCUAUGAGUGGCGCAAGGGUGAGUAAUGCGAAGGUAACCAACCUGGUGUUGGGCAUAGCCGCGGGAAACUGCGGGUAAUUCCCAGCGACGUCACGAGAUGGCAUCAUCUUGUGACCAAAGGUGUGAUUCCGCUCUAGGACGGGCCUUCGUGGUAUUAGGUAGUUGGUGAGGUAACGGCUCACCAAGCCGACGAUGCCUACCGGGUGUGAGAGCAUGACCCGGCACACUGGAACUGAGACACUGUCCAGACACCUACGGGUGGCUGCAGUCGAGAAUCUUCGGCAAUGGGCGAAAGCCUGACCGAGCGACGCCGCGUGAGGGAUUGAAGGCCUUCGGGUUGUAAACCUCUUUCGUAGAGGAGGAAGGGGCCGUGAAGAACGGUCUUUGACCUAUUCUAGGAAGAAGCUUGGGCUAAGUUCGUG